GGCGGCAUGCUUAACACAUGCAAGUCGAACGGCAGCACGAACUAGUUUACUAGUUUGGUGGCGAGUGGCGGACGGGUGAGUAACGCGUAGGAAUAUACCUUGAAGAGGGGGAUAACUUGGGGAAACUCAAGCUAAUACCGCAUACACUCUGAGGAGAAAAGCUGGGGACCUUCGGGCCUGGCGCUUUAAGAAUAACCUGCGUCUGAUUAGCUAGUUGGUGGGGUAAGGGCCUACCAAGGCGACGAUCAGUAGCUGGUCUGAGAGGAUGAUCAGCCACACUGGGACUGAGACACGGCCCAGACUCCUACGGGAGGCAGCAG
rnacentral:rRNA from 1 species